rnacentral:rRNA from 1 species
UACAGAGGUCUCGAGCGUUGUUCGGAUUCAUUGGGCGUAAAGGGCGCGUAGGCGGCUUUGCAAGUCGGGUGUGAAAGCCCUCAGCUCAACUGAGGAAGUGCGCCCGAAACUGCAGAGCUUGAGUGCCGGAGAGGGUGGCGGAAUUCCCCAAGUAGAGGUGAAAUUCGUAGAUAUGGGGAGGAACACCGGUGGCGAAGGCGGCCACCUGGACGGUAACUGACGCUGAGACGCGAAAGCGUGGGGAGCAAACAGG